rnacentral:lncRNA from 1 species
UCCUUUACAUUGGAAAGUCUUAUUCUUAUUUUCUCUAACUAAUUUUUUUUGCUUCUUCUAUUGCUAUGUCUACUUCAAAUUCUUCAUGUAUUAUUUCAACAUUCAUGCAUUCAGUUUCUUUAUUUUCAUCUUCAUCUUCUAUAUCUUUAUGAGUAGAAUAAUUAUAAUCAGUAAACCUAAUUGACGUUUCUCCUUUAGAAUUUGUAUACAUCAAGUGAGAUUCUGGUUUAAAUAUUUNN